rnacentral:rRNA from 1 species
GACGAACGCUGGCGGCGUGCUCAACACAUGCAAGUCGAACGGAAAGGCCCUGCUUUUGUGGGGUGCUCGAGUGGCGAACGGGUGAGUAACACGUGAGUAACCUGCCCUUGACUUUGGGAUAACUUCAGGAAACUGGGGCAAAUACCGGAUAGGAGCUCCUGCUGCAUGGUGGGGGUUGGAAAGUUUCGGCGGUUGGGGAUGGACUCGCGGCUUAUCAGCUUGUUGGUGGGGUAGUGGCUUACCAAGGCUUUGACGGGUAGCCGGCCUGAGAGGGUGACCGGCCACAUUGGGACUAGGAUACGGCCCAGACUCCUACGGGCGGCAGCAGUGGGGAAUAUUGCACAAUGGGCGGAAGCCUGAUGCAGCAGCGCCGCGUGCGGGAUGACGGCCUUCGGGUUGUAAACCGCUUUCGCCUGUGACGAAGCGUGAGAGACGGUAAUGGGUAAAGAAGCACCGGCUAACUACGUG